rnacentral:rRNA from 1 species
UACGGAGGGUGCGAGCGUUGUCCGGAAUCACUGGGCGUAAAGGGCGCGUAGGCGGCCUGAUAAGUAGGGGGUGAAAUCCUGCGGCUUAACCGCAGGGCUGCCUUCUAAACUGUCAGGCUGGAGCACAGUAGAGGCAGGUGGAAUUCCCGGUGUAGCGGUGGAAUACGUAGAGAUCGGGAAGAACAUCAGUGGCGAAGGCGGCCUGCUGGGCUGUUGCUGACGCUGAGGCGCGACAGCGUGGGGAGCAAACAGG